CCAGCUCAAGUGCUCGCACGCACACGAACCUGAUGCGCACUCUUCCUAUCGCUAUCCUCGCCUCUUCGCACGCACGCGAACAGCACGCCUCCGCGAUGCAGCCGCCGCCUGUCGUCACUCCGGUCAUCGCCGGCCGUCUCCGGCGCCGCUGUCCGUCGGCGAAGCUCCGCCAUCCUCUCCUCCCCUGGUUUCCCUUCACCACGACGCCCGGUCGCCAACACGCGCGCGCCCGCGAGGAUCCCAGCCCCGCCGUGCCGCCACUUUCUUCUGGCCGGUUCCGGCCAUCUCUGGCGCCGGCUUGGUGUGGAUUUGUUUCGCCUCACCUCUCUCUACCCCUCACCCUGGUCGAUUUGAUUCUCGUGGCCUCUCCCGUUUGCCCCCAACUUGAAAACCCUAGCUACUGCCGGCCGAUUUGGCCAUCGCCGGCCUCCUCCUCCGACGCUGUUCCCCGGCGUGGCCUCACCACAGACCUCCCUGCCAUAUACCACUGCCUCAGCGCCGCCCCUUUCCCGCACGCGUGCUUCACGGCAACCCUAGCCCACGGUUGGCUCGGUCGCCGGCGUGUUUCCGUCGCCGCCGCGGGCAGACUGCUGCGAUGACGGUGAAUUGGUGGUGUUGUGCUGCGGUGUUGUUGUACUGGUGGAGCGGUGUGGUGUUGGUGGUGACUACUGCAUCCACGACGCCGGCCGGACGGCGUCUACGACUGCAACCCCGACGUCCGUGUACUGGUGGUGAUGCACUGGUGGGGAAUUGCUGUUGUGCUGGUGAUGAUUAUUUCAUCCUCGACGCCGGCUGGACGGUGCCACGGACGCAACCCCGGCGUCGGCCUCUUCCUCUAUUCGACUACACCACUCUAGAGGAUAAGAAAAUUGGGAAGAUUUGGAAUAUGAAGAUUUAGUUUAGAAAUUUCUUGUAUUCUUUUAUAAUUUUCUAUUUCUUUUCUAACUUGUAAUUUAUUGAAUAAUGUUAUUUGUAAUAAAGUUUGAAUUAUUUAUUCAUUUGGAAUUAUCAAAUGUGUUUACUAUUACAUAUUAUGUUUAUAUACUUGUUUAGGUUUAAAGUUCCAAUUCAAAUUCUUAUUUGAAUUUCUACCUUUCAUAUUUGAAUUUGAAUUCAAAUUGUUCCCCUAAAACACAUGAAUUCACAAAGAUCAUGUCGAAAUUUGUCACACUCACAUCGAUGACUAACUCAAUUCCACCGAUGUAAGAGAAACCUCGAUCACUUUGGAGGUUUUAAACAAAAACGCGAAAAUUCCCCGGAUUUUCUAUGCAUGAAUGCAAUGCACACAUCUGUUUCCUCUAUUUUUUUAACCCCAUUACCUAGGAUAUUACACCGCCGCCGCCGAAACGCGUCCGUGCUGUGCUCACCGGGUCGCCGGCGGUCAAGUACGCGGAUAAAAAACGCCAGCUCGAAAUUUCGAGAGACGGUUCCAGAAACCAAGUGGGCUCGCCGUCGCCGCCGCUGCCGCCGCCGAAACGCGUCCGUGUUGUGCUCACCGGGGUUGGAAGUUCCAACGACGCCCGUACUGCACCAACUUCCACGACCAAGGAAUCAUCGUCGUCCGAUGAUUUCAACCCGGCCCUACCCCGGCGAAAUGAGGAAGCGGCACCGACUAUCGACACCACUGUCGCCAUCUUGAUGGAAAAAAACGAGGAGCUCGACUUAGAGUGUGAUCGCCUCCGAGACGAUUUGGUCGCCAAGAAGAAGAAUUCGAAAACUCUUGUGGAGC